rnacentral:rRNA from 1 species
GCAGUGAAGCGGACCGAGGGGUGAGGGGUCGUCGAGCUCACGGGGGUAGGGGGUAGCGGCCGCCUGCCGCGGCUGUCCUAUUGCGCGAGUGUCGAUCCGCGGCCGCGGUCGUGGCCGUGACGUAUGUUCAAGACUCGCGAGAACUGGCCGGCGGCCGGAGGUAACGAGGCCGAUCCAGCGUCCAUAUCGAGGUUCUUAUCCACAAAACACCACAGACAACUACCGGUUAUCGCUCAUACUCAUACGUUUCUCGCUCAAGCUCAAGCUGGCGGCGGAGGGUCGGAGGUUGACCUACCAGUAGGUGUAGCUACCGACGGUAAGGUGGCAAAACAAAAGUCUCUCCUUUGUUUUAAGAAGUUUCUGCUCUUUCCAU